AUCAGCUCCACCCACUGUGUCCUGGUCUGAUUGUAUCUUCACUAUCCUGAAGUAGAGAACCACCAAACUGAAACUUGGAAGGUUUGUCUUCAAGGACCAGGAAUAAGGAAGGAGCUAUUCACUGGGUGCCAUGAUGCGGUAAGUUUGAACCAGCAGGUCCAACAUCUCACAUCCAAGCAUCAACCCAUGGAUACAAAUCCACAAGGUUGAAUGAUCCCUCUGCUCUGCCACACAUUUCCCAGAUACACAGGCUGUGUGCCUUAGAUUGUGAUGUGCCCUUAUGGCUUGCUAUGCCUUACACACACGUCUGUCCACGCACAUGUAACACUUUAUUGCACUUCUCUGUUGUGUUUGUCUCCCUCCAGUUGAAUGUGAGCUCCCUGAGAGCAGGAACCUGCUGACUUUUUACCUGCUGCCUGAUGGCUUACUUGGCCAUAUUAAGCAGUCAAUAAAUGUUUACUGAAUGAACUCAAGAAAGAACAUUGUACAUUGCUCACUCUUGAGAAAGAAGUACCAAGAAGAAAUAAAAUUAUAAAGUUACAGUUGAUCUUUGAAAAAGGAAUGUUUCUUAUUGCCGUAGGUGAUGGCUAGAGUGUUGAGUUAGCUUGGAGUGUGUUCUGGGCAGGUUUUCAGAGUGAUACUUAAUCACAAGCAUGCAUACUCAAUUGUGUCUGACUCUUUGCAACCCAAUGGACUGUUUCCCACCAGGCUCCUCUGUCCAUGGGAUUUUCCAGGCAAGAAUAUUGGAAUGGUUUGCCAUUUCCUCCUCCAGGGGAUCUUCCUGGCCCAGGGAUCGGGUGCAACCCAAAUGGACUAACUACCUAGACUCCACCUAAAAUAUAACUAAAUCAGACAUUCAAAUCAAAAACAGGUCUUUAGUAUUCUAUAGGUGAUUCCCACCAACAUCUCUGGCUUAAAAGCAGUGCAUACAAGUAUCUGUUAACCUAGUACUUAAUUUUAUGAUUUAGGCUAAUGAAAGAACAACAAAAAUUCCAAGUAUAAUUAGCUAGUUGAGCAUAAUACUCAGACAAAUACACCUAAGAUGAAAGUGGUAUCGAUUAUAAAAUAGCAUUUGGCAUUUCCUCAUCUGCCCCAUUGCAAACAUAUUGUAAAUAGACACUUAAUAAAAUAUCUACCCUGCCCUACAAAGGCUUCAUAUCUUCUGAUAUAAUUUGUAUCUUCUGAUAUAAUUUGACAGAGAAAACCCCACCCCGAUAUUUUAACAUUCCUGUCUUUGGAAAUAUACUUACUGCUCACUUGUUGCUCCUGUAUGUUUUUAUUAGGUAACUGCAGGUCUGGUGUUACUGAGGCGAGGAUGCUCACAGCAGAAGAGAUUCACCUGGGUCAAGAGUGAUGGUGCAGUGUAAGCAAGACCACCUCCUGCCUUGGGAUGUCAGAACAUCAAUGAGCUGUUUUAGAAGGACUCUCAUGUCCCUAAGUCGAGUCCAACUCUUCGCGACUCCAGGGACUGAAGCCCCUCAGGCCCCUCUGUUCAUGGGAUUUUCCAGGCAAGAAUACUGGAGUGGGUUGCCAUCUCCUCCUCCAGGGGAUCUUCUAGACCGAGGGAUUGAACCCACGUCUCCUGCAUUGCAGGUGAGUUCUCUUACCACUGAGCCAUCUGGGAAGCCUGAUCCAGAAAGAAGGUAUAAGGAAAACACUGCAGUUCAUAAAGUAAGAAUAUAUUUAAUACCUUCAAAGGUGCCCAAGGAAAAGCUGAUGACGAUUAGUUGGAGACAAAGCAAGAAGUUAGAUUUUUCUUUAAAUUAGCUGAUAGCAAACAAUCUAGGAGUAGCCUUUAUCCUAGCAUCCUGGCAACAUCACUUAGUUUUUAAUAAAGCUUUCUG
ensembl:lncRNA